AUGCUUAUGCUACUUGUAUCACUAGUGUUUCCUCUUGUUUUUUUAGGGUGGUCCCUCUUGUUUUUUAGGGUGCAACAACUGAUGGUUAUUUGUCCGAAACAAAAGUUAGUGAGUAACGUUGCUUAUUUGAUAGAACAAAAAUGUCAGAAACAAAUCACAUUAAUGUUUAUGUGCUAUGUGCUAUGCUUUGCAGCUGCUGACCUCUUCCUAUGGAGGAACAAGAAGAUCUUUGUCGGGGUGCUCACGGGCGCCACCGCCAUUUGGCUACUAUUUGAGGAGAAGAAGGAGCACACCCAGGAGAAGGAGCAAGCCCAGGAGAAAAAGAGCGAGCAGGAGAAGAAGGCACUGGAUUGCUGCUGUUGGAGUGUUGAGGACCUGGGAUCUGUGACGGCCCUGCACCGGCUCCCGCCCGCGGAUGUCGUGCGGGCGGCCUGCGCCUGCCGCCUCUUGAGCACCGUCGCCUCCGACCGCGCCGUGCUGGAGGCCACCUUCCACGCGCCCUCGGGCAUGCGCCACGUCCUCAGCGACCCGGCCACCAGGGCCUUCUGGCACGCUGCCUCCCUCGCCCAAUUUGCGCUCUCGCGUGCCCUCCGUCGUGGGGUCACCGUCCCGGGCAUCGCGCUCAAGUAUUUUGUCCAGUUGGGUGUACAGGAGCUAUAG
rnacentral:rRNA from 1 species